rnacentral:rRNA from 2 species
UUAAGUCGACCGCCUGGGGAGUACGGCCGCAAGGUUAAAACUCAAAUGAAUUGACGGGGGCCCGCACAAGCGGUGGAGCAUGUGGUUUAAUUCGAUGCAACGCGAAGAACCUUACCUGGUCUUGACAUCCACGGAAGUUUUCAGAGAUGAGAAUGUGCCUUCGGGAACCGUGAGACAGGUGCUGCAUGGCUGUCGUCAGCUCGUGUUGUGAAAUGUUGGGUUAAGUCCCGCAACGAGCGCAACCCUUAUCCUUUGUUGCCAGCGGUCCGGCCGGGAACUCAAAGGAGACUGCCAGUGAUAAACUGGAGGAAGGUGGGGAUGACGUCAAGUCAUCAUGGCCCUUACGACCAGGGCUACACACGUGCUACAAUGGCGCAUACAA